AUCCAAUCAAAUCUCUCGAGGGUUGGAUCGAAUCAUAAAGCUGAGGAUCCACUUUAAAAUGCCGAACGAAAAGCAAUGAUUUGAUUGUCCUUUUCUCCACCGGACCCGAGACUAGAGAAAAGAAAACCAGUAAAAAAGCUCAGCUGCUGCCACGCUUCGGUGGGGGCUUUUAAUGCAGGCGAGAGCGAAAGGAGACGCCUUUUCCACCCUGCGUUGUCCUCUUCUACAGUUCUACCCCACACCUAUUCCCUCCUCCCUCCUCCUCCUCCUGAGACGAGCGUGAUCGCUCGAGAAGGAAACCCUAUUCCCACCUCUUCUUCUUCCUUCGUUCCUCUCCCCGUUUCUCCUCCCUUCCUGCAAAACAAAGGGAAGAAGAAGAAAAAAAAAUGCAAACCAUGCUGAAUCUCAACAGCUCCUCCGGCCUCCCCCUCUGCGUUUCCGGGAUCACUCGCGCCCUCCCUCUCUCCCGAGAGAUGCUGGAUCACGAUCGCCGGACGAGGGCUAUGAAGAGGAUGAGGUCCCGAUACGGUCGGGGGUCAGCCGCGCCCGGCGAGACGGGUCGCGAGACGGCGGCUGAGGCGGCGACGCAGCGCGGUUCGAUCCCGGAAGGUGGCGAUCUCUCCGGAGAUCUGGCCGUCGGCGGCGGCGGCGGCGGCAGCAGCAGCAGCUUCGGACCCUGUACAGCAAAAGCCGCUUAGCUCUCGAGAUUCGCUCCCCACCACCACCGAAGAUCUUGUGGGUUUGCCACGGCCAGUGCCAUCCCUACUGAUCUCUUCUUCUUCCUCCUCCUCUCUUCUUCUUCUUCUUCUUCUUUCAUUUCCAGUUUCUAUGGGCUUCUGUAAAAAUCGGUCAAUACUUUUUUUUGCAUGUGAAGAUUUAGGGUUGCAAAGUGCAUUCUGAGUCGAAAUCUGUGAUGGGCUUUUCUUCGAUUCUGAGGAAUGUUUUUGGUUUUCCCGUUUUUGUUUGUUCAUUCGUUUCGGUCGGGAGUCCUGUCGGAGAUAAAAUUAUACAAAAUUUGAUUCCGCUAUGAAGGGAUGGAGCCAACCAUGAUGUCUGUACUGGCUGGCCCCCGCUCGAAGCCGAUGUGAUAUAUACAUAAAUAUAUAUAUCUUAGAUAUACAAAAUUAAUCCACUCAUUUCCAGUUAUUCGACGUUGAAUAUUAUAAUUAGCCAACUCAAAUUUCCAGUAGCAAUUAUAUUUAUUCUAAACUUCUGUAUUUUGUGAAUCCCCGAACAGAAACUUGUAGAGUUGAAAUGGUCCUGAAGCUCCAGGAUCUGAUAAUUUCAAGCUCUGGGCUUGAAAUGGAGACUAUUCUAGGAGCUAGGUUCUUUCGAAAGAUCAAGUGUUAAUUCAUACAUGGAUUACUGAGUUUUGGUUGGGAUUUCGAAUCGAAAAUAGGUUUCGUACGUGGGAUCUCAAAGACUCGAAGCGGUCCCUCCUUGAAAUUGAAGCAAUUUGUCUGCGGCACGAUCGAAUAGCCCAGUACAUGUAAUGCAGCCAUUUGCGGCGUGGUGGAUAUUGGAUAAUACUAGUGCAGCGCUACGUAGGGUGGCGCAUUAGCUCUUGAAAAGACAGUGAAAAAUAAGAUCUAGAGCAAAUGGAUAAAUCUUUAGGUGUCUAGUCGAGAUAUUCAAUUUUUCGUGUUCGUCAAACUGAAGACAUGAACUGAUCAACGACAACGAAUUCUAAAAUCAGAAUGGUUUGCGGGGCAGGGAAAUGUGAUAGGUUGAGCAAGAUGAUGUAUUGUUGCUUUCUCAAAUGCAGAUCCAAAGUUGCUCGAGCUCUCUACUUUGCGCUCCGUUCGGCAAAUCUUAUUUCGGAUGGUCAUGAAUAUCAAGAACUCAGUCAAUCUCACUUCAAAAGGAAUAACUACAGGGCCAUCUUCUCUGUCCCCCGGGCAUAAGAUAUUGCUGAGAUCCAUGGCGAACAGGCCUCAUGUCAUGAAGGUGAAAAGUAAACUCUCUUACUUAUGUCCUACCUCCGUCAUGUCAUGAAUAUCUUUGCAAGUCUAAACAGCUUUCCUCAAGUUUCUACUUUUGAUUCAAGCAGAAUAAAAAGGAAAAGCAGACACCCUACAGAAUACGCCUCAGCACUUAAUGAUGAGAGACAAGCACUAGAGCAGAUUUCAGGACCCCAACAACUAAUAAAAUACUGUGCUGAUCUAGUGGAAGGUAAUGUGAUCCCAUGCUUAUUAAAUUCGCAAGUAAAAUCAGGACUGGGGUGGUCAUGAGAUUACUAACCAGG